AUAUCUGCCUGCUCGGCUUAGUGGUAUUUGAGUAGUAGCACUUAUCUCUGCAUUGUUAAGAAUCUGCUAUAGCAUUGUUCCUUUAUCAAACAUUCUCUAUAUUAACCUUUAUGGUAAAUUUAUAGGAAAAAUGUUAUUUAAACAUGGGGUUAAAAAAAUUGAUUACAUUUUACUAAUUAUGCUGAAGAACAUUAAAGUUGGGAAAUGGAACUCUUUCUGUCAAGGCAAUCAAUGUCAAAGAGCAAUCAAAUUAAUAAUUAGUAAUUAGUAGAUAGUAAGGUUAGGAGCUUAUUAAAAGCCAGGCAUUUUUAUCCUCAUAACAUAUGCCAGAAAUGGAUUUCUGUCAAUGUCAGAACGUUUUUCAUUGCCAGAAUCAUCAAAUUGAUAGCCUGACUUAAUUGCUGAAUUGGGAUGGUACAGUUAGGAGGCUCCAUAAAUACGAGGAACUGGAUUCAAACCACCCAUUGUACCCUCAUUUACGGCUAUUUCCUGGGGUUCUAGCAAUGAUCCCUCGUGUAAGCCUCAUUCUAAGACAGACUGAGAUUACUUUUCUGGUGGUACUGCUGGUACUGGACCAGCCUCUGAUACGUCAACAGCUAUUACAGGCAGAUUAUCUCUCCAGUGCCAUGAUUUCUGGAUGAAAAUUCCCCUCAAAGGAGGCAAGAAGCCUGACAGCAGGUAGAUCAGUGGGACUGAAUCGGUCCCUCUGGAAAUAGCUAGAACACAGUUGUCAGCUGGUUGAUAGGCUCAACACCAUGACCAAUAAAUUCCACUUGACUGUUUCAGUUUGUUUACCUUACAGAAAUGUUUUUGUUUUAAUGGUAAAUUUUAAUCCUUUGCUGCACAUUCCAAUACACAUUAAGCAUCUUACGGCAUUAUUUGAAGAACAAAGUGGUGUUCUCCAGUAUCCUCCCCGAGUCAAAACGAUCAAAAAUAGAUUAAUUGACAGUUCCUUUCAUUCACCAUUAGUAACAUUAUUGAUUACACGUUAGGUUUCCUUAUUCUUUAUGAAACCUAUGAAACCUAAGCAACUAUUGUUUAAAAUAUUAUUUUAGUAAUGGAGAAUAUAUGGGAAUACUCCGACACUAUCUCAUUUCCUCUUGACUUAUCUGUCCAAUGUUAGGACCAACUCCCAGUGCUGUGACCUCCAUUACGAGUAAGGGAAGGAGACAGGACUCAGGGGAAUAGUGAUCAUAGCCAUACAGCUGGUAUGAACCUGAUCCACACCACUGUUCAGCCAACUGAGACAGCCUGUCUUCCAAUGAAGCUGAGUUGCUGUGGCAAUGUACACUUCUGCAUGCAUGUUCUAGGGAGUUGUGAAAAGUGGUGGUAAAGACUCCACUUUCUUUGCAAUACAUUGCUGACAAGGAAUCUCUGCCACCUUUACUAUCUGCCAUUGGCAUAUGUUGGGAAGACUUACAAGUUGAUACACAACACAUUUGGAGAUGUCUUGAAAUGCACCUUUCUGAUUCUGAUUCCAGUUAACGUCCUGACCAAUCAGAGUCAAUCUGCUUGGUUUAAAAAUUAAACAGAAUAUGUCUGAACCAGAAUUCACUUGCCAACAAAUCACUGUCUUCUCAGGCAAUAAAAAUAUUGGUUUUCCUCUUGAAUUUGUAUUCUUGUGAAAUGUCCUGAUGAGUGCAAGAUGAAAUGUUUUGACAAAUGUCUUUUUCAGCAAUACUCAAGUUCAAUAUUUUCAAAUCUGAAACACAACAUCUAAUUACUUUGCCCUAACAUAAUUUUGCAGAGAUUAAAUGUUGCUCUUAGUGUCUUCCACAUGUGCAAUUAUGGUGUCUUUAAAUUUUCAGUUCAAGACCAAGCUUUGAAUGAAUCACCAUCCCUUUCAUUAGUGAAUGAAGCCCAGUAUCUUCUCAUAAACAUGGCAAGCGUUCUACACAUCAAAGAACAAUUAUUACAACGAGAUGGAACAAGUGUUUCUAAUUCUCCUGAAGGAUUAACAACUGAAGAGCUAAUCCAUCGUUUCCGUGCCAACCUUGUGAUAAGUGCAUUGAGGCCUUAUGAAGAAGAUGACUGGGCUGAAAUAGAUAUAGAUGGUGUAUCUUUCCAGAUUCUGGGACUGUGCAACAGAUGCCAAAUGAUUUGCAUUAACCAAUCGAAUGGAAAAAGAAGCACUGAACCCCUGCAGACUCUAUAUUCAUCCAGGAACAGAAAGAUGACUUUUGGGGCGUACUUGUUUCAUCAGCUACCAGCAACCAUAGCGGAUUGUGCAACACUGACUGUAGGAUCUCAGGUCUAUGUCAGAAGAGAGAGAAUAACUACUACUCCUCCUGCUGGCCAAUCACAUUCUCUGCAGCUUCCAUAGGCAAGAAUAAAUGAUUGUUUUGUAUGAAUGCUUCAGUAACUUUGAUGAUAUUAUGAAUUCGUGUUCCACUUAUAGUUCUCCAAUGUAAAGUCUAUGUUAAUUCCAGUUUAUUGGUUUGAAAAUCUAUUGGUACUGCACUAUUUCCUGACUUAAAAAUGAAAAUACAAUUAUUUCCAACUGUGAAUGAAAUCCUUCGAAGUAGGAAUUGUCCAAAUGAACCUGAAUGCUAAGUUAUUUCAGUUGUUCUUUAUACUUAAUCAUAUUGCACAAUAUUUUUGAUAUAGUAGCAAAUUAGUUUUAAGAAUUUAUACAGAUCAAUUAAUAUCUAUUGAUUUUUCGUGUAUAUUAUUCAUGUUACAUUCACAAAGAUUUUGUUCUUGUUCUUCUCCCUUGCUGUUAAAAUCAUAACAUCUUAAAGAUAUUGGUUAAAUGGUUUUAUUUAUACAACACUCAAGACAUCAUUGUGAUCAGCUGAUUCAUUGAGAUAUGCAAACAUAAUGUAAAUCUUCUAUAGUUGUUAAACAGAGAAAUUAUGACAAUUGCCUGAGCCUCACCCAAAAUUUAUGAAUGUGCACUAAUCUUUGGUGAGUCUCUUUGCUAGCUUUAUAUCAAAACCAUAAGACCAUAAGGUAUAGAAGUAGAAUAAGGCCAUUUGGUCCAUCAGAUCUGUUCCACCAGUUGAUCAUGUUUCUCAACCCCCUUCUCCCAUCUUUUCUCUGUAACCUUUCAGCCCUUUACAAAUUAAGAACCUACCUUUGCCUUAAAUGCACUUAAUGACUUAAUCUCCAUAGCCUUCUGUGGCAAUGAGAUCACAGAUUCACCACUCUCUAGCUGAAGAAAUUCCUCUUCAACUCAAUUCAACAGAUUUGUCCCUUCACCCUGAGGCUGUGCCCUAAAUUUAGACCAGUAGUUUUUAAAUAGUUUUAACUUUGUUAAAACUGAUUUCACUUGAUUAAUCUGACCUCAGCAAUACUGAAGAUGCUGCUACUGACCUCAAUGCUCCAUGCCAAGGUACAAAAUUGAAUGCAGAAUCUUACCAUUGAUGUCUUGACCUUGAUUGGAAAAUGCAUGUGAAGAUGUAUAAUUUUGUAUUAUUUCCAGUUGAAUGGCCUGACAACACUCAUUGUUUCGGUAUGGAUUGACUAAGGGUUCAGACAAAGUUUCAUCUCAGGGCAGCAUGGUGGCUCAGUGGUCAGCACUGCUGCCUUACAGCACCAGGGACCUGGGUUCAGUUCCAACUUUGGCUCAAUGUCUGUGUGGAGUUUGUACUUUCUCCAUGUAUCUACAUAGGUUCCUGCCCUGCCGGGUGCUCCAAUUUCCUUCCACAAUUCAAAGAUGUGCAGGUUAGGUGGAUUGGCCAUGCUAAAUUGUCAAUAAUGUCUAGGGAUAUGUAGGCUACCUGGAUUAGCCAUGGGAAAUGUGGGGGCUGGACUGGGUGGAAAGAUCUUCUGAGGGUUGGUGCAGUCUCAAUGGGCCAAAUGACCUCUUUCUGCACUAUAGGGAUUAUUUUCUAUGAUAAGACCGUAAGAUAUAUGAACAGAAUUAUGCUAUUCUUCCCAUUAAGUUUGCUUUGCCAUUUGGUCAUGGCUGAUAUGUUUCUCAACCCCAUUCUCUUGCCUUUACUCCAUAGCCCUUGAUCCCCUUGCCAACAGUGGACCUAUCUAUUUCUGUCGUAAAUACACUCAAUGACUUGGCCUCCACAUUCCUCUGCGACAAAAAGUUCCACAGAUUAACCACUCUCUGGGUGAAAAAAUUCCUAAAUUCUGAACAGACGUCUCCUCUGUCUGAAGCUAUGCCCUCAAGUUAUAGUCUCUCCUACUAAUGGAAAAAUCCUCUCCUUGUCCACUCAAUUCGGGUCCCUCUGUAUUCUAUAUGUCUCAAUCAGAUCCGCCCUCAUCCUUCUAAAAUUCAUUGAGUAUAGACUGAGAGUCCUCAAAUGUUCCUCAUACGACAAACCCUUCAUCCCCGGGAUCAUGCUCGUCAACUUCCUCUGGACCCGUUUCAACGCCAGCACAUCUUUCCUUCAGAUAUGGCACCCAAAACUGCUCACAGUAUUACAAAUGUGGUCUGACCAUUGCCUUAUACAGCCUCAACAGCACAUCUCUGGUCUUAUAUUCAAGCCCUCUUGAAAUUAAUGCCAACAUUGAAUUUAUCUGCCUAACUGCCAACUGAACCUGCAUGUUAACCUUAAGAGAAUCAUGAACUCGGACACCCAAGUCCUUUUGUGCUUUAGAUUUCUGAAGCCUUUGCCCAUUUAGAAAAUUGUCUACACCUCUAUUCUUCCUAUCAAAGUGUGUAACCUCACACUUUACUGCAUUGUAUUCCAUGGAUGUCUUCAUUGCCCACUCCCCAUAGCACAUCCAAGUCUUUCUGUAGCCUCCCUGCUUCCUCAACAUUACCUGUUCCUCCGUCUAUUUUUGUGUUAUCUGCAAACUUAGCAACAAUGCCCUCAGUUCUUUUUCCAGUUUGUUAAUGUAUAACAUAAGUGUUAUAACUUCCCAACACUGACCCCAGCGGAACUCCAUUAGUUACCAGCUGCCAUCCUGAAAAAGACUCCUUUCUCCCAACUCUCUGCUUUCUGCCAGUCAGCUAAUCCUCUGUCCAUACCAGUACCUUGCCUCUAACACCAUGGUCUUGUAUCUUAUCUAGCAGUCUCCUGUGCAGUACUUUGUCAAAGACCUUCUGGAAAUCCAAAUAGAUCAUGUCCAUUGGCUCUCCUUUGUCUAACAUGCUCAUUACCUACUCAAAGAAUUCUAACAGAAUUGUCAGGCAUGAUCACCCCUUGACAAAGCUAUGCUGACUCUGCCCUAUUUUACUGCGCAAUCUCAUUCUUAAUAACAGAUUCUGAAACCUUAUCAACAACCGAGGUCAGGCGAACUUCCCCAUAGUUUUCUGUCCCUUGCUUCCCUCUUUUCUUAAGUAGGGUUGUUACCAUUAACCAUUAUCCAGUCCUCUGGGGCCAUCCCUGACUCCAGUGAUUCCUGAAAGAUCACCACCAAUACCUCCACAAUCACCUCAGCUAUUUCCAUCAGAACUCUAGGGUAUAGUACAGCUGGUCCGGGUGGUUUAUUCGCCAUCAGACCUUUCAGCUCCUCUAGUACCUUCUCCUUAGUGAUGGCCACUACACUCACCCCGGCCCCCUUAUGUUGCUGGUGUCUACCAUUGUGAAAACUCAUAUGAAAUACCUCUUUAUUUCCUCCCCUUUUUUUUGUUCCCAAUUACUGCUUCUCCAGCCUCAUUUUCUAGCAGUCCAAUAUCAACUGUUGCCUCUCUCUUACCUUUUAGACAUCUAAAAUAAACUCUUGCAAUCUUCUUUUAUAUUACUAACUAGAUCAUUCUCAUAUUUUUUCUUGUCUCCCUUAUUGAUUUUUUAGUAAUUGUCUGCUGGUUUUUAUAGGCAUCUCAGUCCUCUGUCUCCCCACUGAUCUUCACCGCAUUGUAUGCUUUUUCUUUUGCUAGUGUGCUGUCCCUGACUUCCCUCCACAGCCAUGGUUGUCAGCCUCUGCUCGUUACACAUCACUAAAUCCAGAAAUGCCUGUUCCCUAGUGGACUGUACCACAAGCUGCUCCAAAAAAAUCUUGUAGGCAUGCCAUGAACUCCUCUUCUUGAGAUCAGCUUCUAUCCUGAUUUUUCUAGUCCACCCGCAUAUUGAAGUCCCCCAUGAUUAUUGUAAAGGUACCUUUCUUACAUGCCUUUUCGAUCUCCUGAUUUCCUUUCUUCCCCACAUCCUGACUACUGAUAGGAGGCCUGUACAGAACUCCCAUCAGGGUCUUUUUGCCUUUUCAGUUCCUCAACUCUACCCACACAGAUUUUACACCUUCUGAAUCUAUAUCACUUUCUUGCUGUCAAUUUAAUUUUGUUUCUUACUAACAAGCAACCCAGGCCCCUCUGCCCAUCUGCCUGUCCUUUCGGUAGGUUAUGUAUCUUCGGAUAUUUAGUUCCCAGCCCUGGUCCCCUUGCUGUCAUGUCUCUGUGAUACCCACAACCUACAAGCUCAAUUUCAAUCUUCACUACAAGCUCAUUUACCUUGUUGUGUAUACUGUCUGAAUUUAAGUGCAACACCCUCAGUCCUGCAUUGACGGCCCACUUUCUCAUAGUUAUCCCCUUAUCUGCUGUGCCUGAAGUUAGAUUCCUGAUGCUUUCCAUAAUCCCUGCCCUAUUACUUGUUCUAGAAACCCUAACCCCCAAUGAGCCCUCCCCCUUUAAUUUUUUUCCAUAAUUUUCCAUGCAACUGAACCCACCCCCUAACUAUUUAGUUUAAACCCCAAUCCACAGUCCAGUUAUGCAAUUUGCCAGGACUGUGGUCUCAGCAUGAUUCAGAUGGAGCCUGUCCCAUUGGAACAGCUCCCUCCUUCCCCAGUACUGGUGCCAAGGUCCACUGAAUUCAACCUGUUUCUCUGAUACCAGUCUUUGACUCUGUGCCAAUUUGCUUGAGGAUCAGGCAGUAAUCCGGAGAUUAUCACUUUUUUGGUUCUGCUUUUUAAUUUUGCCCCGAGCUGCUUAUAUUCUCUCGGCAGAACCUCUUUCCUCUUUCUACCUAUAUUGUCGGCCCCUAGGUGUACUACGACAACUGGAUCUUUCUCCUCCCACUCCAACUUCUUCUACAGCCCCGAUGAGAUAUCCUGAACCCAGAUAACAGGCAGGCAACACAGUCUUCGGGACUCUCGAUCCUAGCCACAGAAAAGAGUGUCUAUUCCCUGACAUACUGUCCCUGAUUACAACUACAUUUCUCUUUUCUCCCCCAUCUUAGAUGGCUCCCCAUAACACGGCGCUAUGGUCAGUUUACUCAUCCUUUCUACAGUCCCCAAUCUCAUUUAUACAGGGAGCAAGAAUCUUAAACCUGUUAGACAAGCUCAAGGGCUGAGGCUCUUUCAGCAUUACCCCCUGAAUCCAUCUUCCUGCUUCGCUCAUAGUCACACCUUCCUGUCCCUGACCACUGAGCUGGAGUUCCUCAAGCAACCAACACUUGCGCAGAUGUUGUCACUAUGAACCACAAUGUGGUCCGCAUCAUGCAGUAACAACACAUUGCCUGGCCAAGUCUCUCUCUUUUCAUUAUUCAGUUCUUAAUUUUAUUUUUAAAAUUUCACACUGAUUUAUAAAUAUUUGCCCUAUUAGCCUUCAAUCUGAAAGUAACCUAUAAUAUAUAUUCAAGGACCUGGGUUCGAAACCUGCCACGUCAGAUGGUGGAAUUUGAAUUCAAUAAAAUAUCUGGAAUUAAGAAUCUAAUGAUGACCAUGAAUCCAUUUUCAAUUGUCAGAAAAACCCAUCUGGUUCACUAAUAUCCUUUAUGGGAGGAAACUGCCAUCCUUACCUGGUCUGGCCUACAUGUGACUCCAGACCCACAGCAAUGUGGUUGACUCUUAACUGCCCUCUGGGCAAUUAGGGAUGGGAAAUAAAUGCUGCCUAGCCAGGGAUACCCUCAUCCCAUUAAUGAAUAAAAUGAAUAAAAAGUGAAUUUGUAGUUAUCACCAUCCAAUGAACAUGGUUUAACUGUGAUGUCACUCUCCUGGUGAUAGAAACCUUACAAACUACUGGCCAAAGAAAGCAAGCAAAGAGCGCCUCUUACCUUCUGCAUCAAAUUCUCACGUUGCCUUCAAACUCACCAAAUUAUGUACUCACUAUACUACUUGUUCCAAUAUCUCCUCUAAGUCAUCUUUCUCAACAAAAGCAUCUGUACUAAGUUCACAAUUUGUUUAGAGUAAACUAAACUAACAGAAAUUUCAAUUUGAGGUAAUAUUGUUAAUGUAUAACUGAAUUUUGGAAUGGUGUUGAUUGUGAAAAUCUCCUCUUAAUAUGUCUAACGUACCAUGCAAUCAUUCUUUAAAUUGCCCAAUUUUUGUCAUGAUUGUCAAAGGUUUUUGGCAUGAGUGUUAGUUUUAUUUUUAUAACAUUUAUGUAUAAGAUUAUCAACAUAUCUACAUGAUUAAAAAUAAGGAAUUUGAAUGUAAAAUGUGA